rnacentral:snRNA from 1 species
GUCCCUUCGGGUACAUCCAACCAAAUUGGAACGAUACAGAGAAGAUUAGCGUGACCUUUGCACAAGGAUAGCCAAUCUUGAUGGAUCAUGGGAUUUG